CGUCGUCGUCGUCCGGCUCUGCUCCUCGGUGGACAUCCUAGUCAGCAGGACGGGAGAGGCACAUGGAUUCGGAGCGGGGCGACGCUGAGGACGGGGAUGGGGGCGAGGAGGGCGAUCCCGACCCAAGCCUCUCUCGGCGGUUGGUGGCGGGUGGCGGCGGUGGCGGCGGUUGGCGGCUCCUGCUGUCGCCGCGCUUCUUCUCCUUCUCCUCCUCCUCCGCCUCCGUCUUCUUUCCUUCUACCUCCGCCUCGCAUUGCUGGCCUCCGCCGCCGCGGACCAGCGCGCAGGAGGCAAAGACAACGACGACGAGGCUCGCCGCGACGAACUCCGCUCCUCCUUCUCCUCUCCCUCCCCUCAGACAGGGCCCCACACACUGCGCCCGCCGAAAGUGCCCGCCCACCGGCCCGCCCUUUUUCUCAGCGCAGACAUCUCAUUCGACGCCCCGCCCUCUCCGCUGACCUCACAGCCUCUGCUGGCAGCAGCCGCGGCUGUGGUGGCGACGGUGGAGAGGUCGGCUUGAAACUGUGGAGCCCCGGAAUCCCGCGGACGGGACGAGCGCGUCGCUCCACGGACUGAGCUCUGCGAGGAGGAGCGUCUCUCCGUGUGUGUGUGUGUACAGUAUAUGUGUAUGCGCGCGCGCGCGCCUGUGCGGGCACGAGCGCGCGUUUUGGGGAGUGGGGGAGCUUCAGGUGCGUUUGCCCAGUUGGUUGAAUUGCGCACCUUUCCGGAAGAAGGGGGAGUGGGUGUGGAGAUACAGCGGGGCGUGUCUUGUAGUGCUGUCAUGAUGUGCUGUACACACUUGUGAGCCAGGGUAUUCUCUGCAACGACGUGAAUGGCACCAACCCCACCUCCCUCCCUUCUGUUGUUGUUGUGUGCUCUCUAGUAUGCUCUGAUUUAUGGCGACCCUAUGGAUGAGCAUUCUCCAGAAUGUUCUGCCCUUCUCAGCUCUUGCAAACUCAAGUCUGUGAGUCCUUUGGGGAGUCAACGCACCUGGCCUUCCUCUUUUCCUGCUGCCUUCAGUGUUGCGCAGCAUUAUUGUCUUUUCCAAAGAAUCCUGCCCAACGUACUUAGUUCUAGAGGGAAUGCAAGCUUGAUUUGAUCUAGGACCCACUUAUUAAUCUUUCUAGCGGUCCAGAAUAUCCACACAACUCUCCUCCAAGACCAUAGUUCGAACUACAGUAAUCAAUUUUCCCCCUGUCAGCUUUUACUGUCCAGUUUCCACACCGGUACAUGGUGAUCUGGAAUGGAAGAGGGUGGAUGGGUUUGAUCUCCAAUGACACAUCCUUACACUGGAUGAUCUUUUCUAGUUCCCUUCCCAGUCUCCUGUGGGAAAAGAAAGGAAAACCCAUGUACAGAUAGAUACACAAGCAUGCACUUUUCUCUUUCUCUUUUCACACCCGUGCAGAAUAUAAUCGGUGGGAUGGUGUUAUUUGGAUCUAGUUCAACUAAAGCCAAACUGAACUGUUGGAAAAGUUGUGCUCUCUAUAAUGUUUAAACGGCGUCUUCCCACCUCCGUGGAAACGAUUGAUUGUAUUUUUAUCCCAAGAAUUGAGACUCGUAUACCAAAUUUUAUUAAAUAAACCAGUUGUGACAUGUUAUUUGUUGGUUUAU
ensembl:lncRNA